rnacentral:rRNA from 1 species
UGGGGAAUAUUGGACAAUGGGCGCAAGCCUGAUCCAGCAAUGCCGCGUGUGUGAAGAAGGCCUUCGGGUUGUAAAGCACUUUUAUCAGGAGCGAAACGCUGUCGGCUAAUACCCGGCGGAACUGACGGUACCUGAGGAAUAAGCACCGGCUAACUUCGUGCCAGCAGCCGCGGUAAUACGAAGGGUGCAAGCGUUAAUCGGAAUUACUGGGCGUAAAGCGUGCGUAGGCGGUUUCUUAAGUCUGCUGUGAAAUCCCCGGGCUCAACCUGGGAAUGGCAGUGGAUACUGGGAGGCUAGAGUGUGUCAGAGGGUGGUGGAAUUCCCGGUGUAGCGGUGAAAUGCGUAGAGAUCGGGAGGAACAUCAGUGGCGAAGGCGGCCACCUGGGACAACACUGACGCUGAGGCACGAAAGCGUGGGGAGCAAACAGGAUUAGAUACCCUGGUAGUCCACGCCCUAAACGAUGCGAAUUGGAUGUUGGUCUCAACUCGGAGAUCAGUGUCGAAGCUAACGCGUUAAGUUCGCCGCCUGGGGAGUACGGUCGCAAGACUGAAACUC